AACGAACGUUAGCGGCGCGCCUAACACAUGCAAGUCGAGCGAGAAAGGGCUUCGGCCCCGGUAAAGCGGCGCACGGGUGAGUAACACGUGGAUAACCUACCCCUUGGUGGUGGAUAACCUUCCGAAAGGAGGCUAAUACAGCGUAAGACCACGACUUCGAAAGAGGUUGAGGUAAAAGUGGGCCUCUGUACACAAGCUCACGCCAGGGGAUGGGUCCGCGGCCCAUCAGCUAGUUGGUAGGGUAACGGCCUACCAAGGCGAAGACGGGUAGCUGGUCUGAGAGGAUGAUCAGCCACACUGGAACUGAGACACGGUCCAGACUCCUACGGGAGGCAGCAGUGGGGAAUCUUGCGCAAUGGACGAAAGUCUGACGCAGCGACGCCGCGUGAGUGAUGAAGGCCU
rnacentral:rRNA from 1 species